rnacentral:rRNA from 1 species
CGGGGUGCAGCAGGCGCGAAAACUUUACAAUGCGGGAAACCGUGAUAAGGGAACUCCGAGUGCCCGUUAAAUCGGGCUGUCCACCAGUUUAAAAAACUGGUGAAGAAAGGGCCGGGCAAGACCGGUGCCAGCCGCCGCGGUAAUACCGGCGGCUCGAGUGGUGGCCACUAUUACUGGGCUUAAAGCGUUCGUAGCUGGUUUGUUAAGUCUCUGGGGAAAUCUUCCGGCUUAACCGGAAGGCGUCUCAGGGAUACUGGCAGACUAGGGACCGGAAGAGGUGAGGGGUACUCCAGGGGUAGGAGUGAAAUCCUGUAAUCCUUGGGGGACCACCUGUGGCGAAGGCGCCUCACCAGGACGGCUCCGACAGUGAGGGACGAAAGCUGGGGGAGCAAACCGGAUUAGAUACCCGGGUAGUCCCAGCCGUAAACGAUGUGCGUUAGGUGUAUCGGUGACCACGAGUCACCGAGGUGCCGAAGAGAAAUCGUGAAACGUACCGCCUGGGAAGUACGGUCGCAAGGCUGAAACUUAAAGGAAUUGGCGGGGGAGCACAAGGGCGAUUCGCG